rnacentral:rRNA from 1 species
AACGAACGCUGGCGGCAUGCCUAACACAUGCAAGUCGAACGAGACCUUCGGGUCUAGUGGCGCACGGGUGCGUAACGCGUGGGAACCUGCCCUUAGGUUCGGAAUAACUCCCCGAAAGGGGUGCUAAUACCGGAUAAUGUCUUCGGACCAAAGAUUUAUCGCCUUUGGAUGGGCCCGCGUUGGAUUAGCUAGUUGGUAGGGUAAAAGCCUACCAAGGCGACGAUCCAUAGCUGGUCUGAGAGGAUGAUCAGCCACACUGGGACUGAGACACGGCCCAGACUCCUACGGGAGGCGGCAGUGGGGGAUAUUGGACAAUGGGCGAAAGCCUGAUCCAGCAAUGCCGCGUGAGUGAUGAAGGCCUUAGGGUUGUAAAGCUCUUUUACCCGGGAUGAUAAUGACAGUACCGGGAGAAUAAGCUCCGGCUAACUCCGUG